CUUCAGCUCAUUCUCAUUGCUGUUUCACAUUAGAAAACAUAAGGGAAGAGAAGAAAAUUCCCAAACCCUAACCCUUCACUCAAAUCCAUAUAUCUCUCAAUCUAGAACUCCGAUCGCUGCACCGUUUGCGGUCACGCGUCCACGCAUCGAGCUCUACAAAAUUCAGUAAUCAAUUCGGGUCCAAUUAGUUUAAGGAAUUAGCAAGUUUUUGUUGAAUUGAGGCACAGGUUGUGUAUAUGUGAAUUUGAAACACAAUUGAGGAGAUUGGAAGCUUGGUUGAGCUUUGGGUGCUGAAAUUCGGUGGUGGAGGCUUGUCAUUUUGCUAAUUUGGGUUAUCUUUGGCGUAGGAAAAAAUCGGUCAAGAAAUGGUUUUGGUUUCUCGUAUAUAAUAUUAAUGUGUCGUGAAAACUUAGGCUAGACGACUUAGGAUAAGAUAAAUUGUGUGUUUGAUGCCUAUUUAGUGAUUUUAGUUGAUGUACUAUGGGUUGGAUUGACGUGGAUAUUUGGUAUGUUGGUGAAAAGUAUGACUGUGGUGUAUGGUUGAUGAGGGGAUGACUUUAAUGAACUAUAAUGAUACAUUGAUGAUUGAUGUUGUAGUGAGAUUAAUGAACAUGAAUUAUUAUUGUUGGUAUAUUGAGGAAUAAUGUGUAUUGAAUGUAAUUGUUGGAGUUGGACUUGAUGAUUUUGUGGAAUGGGACGUCAUGAUAUGAAAAU